CACGUAGGGGGCAAGCGUUGUCCGGAUUUAUUGGGCGUAAAGAGCUCGUAGGCGGUUCGAUAAGUCGGGUGUGAAACCUCCAGGCUCAACCUGGAGACGCCACCCGAUACUGUUGUGACUAGAGUCCGGUAGGGGAGCGUGGAAUUCCUGGUGUAGCGGUGAAAUGCGCAGAUAUCAGGAGGAACACCAGCGGCGAAGGCGGCGCUCUGGGCCGGUACUGACGCUGAGGAGCGAAAGCGUGGGUAGCGAACAGG
rnacentral:rRNA from 1 species